rnacentral:rRNA from 1 species
ACGCUCGACACCUACGGGGGCAGCAGUUGGGAAUAUUGGACAAUGGAGGAAACUCUGAUCCAGUGACGCCGCGUGAAGGAAGAAGGUCUUCGGAUUGUAAACUUAUUUUGUCAGGGAAGAAAAAUGACUGUACCUGAAGAAAAAGCACCGGCUAACUACGUGCCUGCAGCCGCGGUAAUCUGAGCGGGCUGGCAAGGC